rnacentral:rRNA from 1 species
ACUGUUCGUGUCAGUGCUUAGCGAGCAGCACGGGGAGCUUGCUCCCUGGUGGCGAGCGGCGGACGGGUGAGUAAUGCAUAGGAAUCUGCCCGGUAGUGGGGGAUAACGUGGGGAAACCCACGCUAAUACCGCAUACGUCCUACGGGAGAAAGCGGAGGAUCUUCGGACUUCGCGCUAUCGGAUGAGCCUAUGUCGGAUUAGCUAGUUGGUAAGGUAACGGCUUACCAAGGCGACGAUCCGUAGCUGGUCUGAGAGGAUGAUCAGCCACACUGGGACUGAGACACGGCCCAGACUCCUACGGGAGGCAGCAGUGGGGAAUAUUGGACAAUGGGCGAAAGCCUGAUCCAGCCAUGCCGCGUGUGUGAAGAAGGCUUUCGGGUUGUAAAGCACUUUCAGCGAGGAAGAAAGCCUGGUGGUUAAUACCCAUCAGGAAGGACAUCACUCGCAGAAGAAGCACCGGCUAACUCCGUGCCAGCAGCCGCGGUAAUACGGAGGGUGCGAGCGUUAAUCGGAAUUACUGGGCGUAAAAGCGCGCGUAGGUGGCUUGGCACGCCGGUUGUGAAAGCCCCGGGCUCAACCUGGGAACGGCAUCCGGAACGGCCAGGCUAGAGUGCAGGAGAGGAAGGUAAAAUUUCCCGGUGUACCGGUGAAAAUGCGUAAAAGAUCGGGGAGGAAUACCAAUUGGCGGAAGGCGGCCUUCUGGCCUGACACCUGACCCUUGAGGGGGCAAAAGCGUGGGGUAGCAGACAGGAAUUAAAUACCCCUGGCAAUUCCAACUCCGUUAAACAAUUUUCACUAUCCGUUGGGGACCUUUUAGGGGAUUUAUUGGUCCCAUUCAACCCCAAUAAGUCGACCCGCCUGGGGGGAAGCACGGGCCCCAAGGGUUAAAAACCCUCAGAAUGUAUAUUUGAACGGGGGGGGCGCGCGCCAAAACACUCGGUGGGGAAUCCGAGUGGUGGGUGUUAU